ensembl:lncRNA
CUGAAAUUAACAUUGACACGCUUAAAUGAAAAAUAUACUCCAUAGGAAGAGUGAAUUGAGUCACAAAAUUAACAUCUUCAACAAUUUUAUUUUAUCCCACUCUUAACCCCUUCCUCCCUCUUUCCUUACAGUGCUGUGAGGUCACAAGUAUCUCCCUCACUGGAGUUUUUCCCUGUUCGCUCUUCUUCACCACCCUCCUUCCUUCCAUCAGUUCUCUCUCCUUUCAUGUUAUACUGGCCUCCCUCGCUCCCACUCUUCCUCUUCAACGCCUCCUUUUUCUCAUCAUCCUCUAGGUUCUUGGCUCUCUCGCUGAGGUCAAUCCCGUCUAAACUGGAGUAGUCGUCUGAGGAAUCUCCUUCAUCCUGUCCCCCUCUCACUCCUGCAGCAGCCUCUCCAUCUCCACUCUUCCCCCCCUCUCCCUCCUCCUCGUCCCCCUCCACCACUCUCUUCCCGGGCCAGAGGCUGAGCCCCAGCCAAUCCUCCAGGCUUCUAACCCUGCCCCUCAUGCGCUCCCUGACGCCCAAUAACAGCCGAGGGGCGGAGCCAUCCUGGCCUGAGUGGCGGCUGUUCCACUUGUAGAAGCACAGCACGGUAAUCGCUAGGAGAAGAAUGAUGACCAGGACCACGAUGAACCCCGUAUUUAACAGAGCAGUUUGUGUGUUCUCGUUGAAAGCUCCAUUUGAGACAGGCGUGGCUUCAUGGACGAAGAUCAAGAGGACCAGGGAGAGCAUGCUCAGCGCCAGGGUGAUAUUGGCCUUCAUUGUGACUGAGAGAGAGAGACAGAGAGAAAUGGAGGAUAAGGUGAUGUCAGCCUAACAUGGUGGGUGACAGGAAGAAAUGUAACACAGGCCUAAAUGACUCAUAUGAGGUGGAGAAUGAGAACAAGAAACAGAACACCAAAGUAGGUUACAACAUAUUUGCUGUUUUAAGUGUACAAUAAAAGGGACUUAAAGUUAAUAUUUAUGUUCAGAUUAAUUUCAUGCAUCGGAAACACAAAGGUGUGCUAGCAUGCACACGCACGCAUGCACCGACACACAGGAAAUGGCGGUGUGCUCCAGAAGCUGUUAACAGGAACUAAAGGCUGCUUUUGCGGCUGAGCCACCUGUCCUGCAUCCUCCCUCGUUUUGCAAACUGAACCACCAUUUGACAACGCAUGCAACUAGCAGAAGAAGGUGCAUGAGAGGAAAAAGAGAGAGAACGCCCAGUCUAAACAUUCACAUUACUAUCGCAGAUUCAAAAUGGCUGAAUUUUCCCUUAAGAAAGCAGAAACACUAAGUAACCGA